ensembl:lncRNA
UGAAAACCUGAGCAGUCCAGCAAAAGAUGAAACCCUUUCUUUAUUCUUAUUUCAAAUCAUGUCUUCGAAAUGCGAGUUUCUGCUGGCAGAUAGAACACGAGCUUAUCUACAGCGAGCGGGAGGCUGUCCUGUGAGCCCUUCUUUGGGGAAGCCUCUUUGACCCCAAGCAGGAUAUUCUACAACAUCUGAAGAUUGAGUGAUGAUAGCAAUAUUUUUUCCAGGACAUUUCUCGGAGAAGAGGGAGGGGUGUGGUUAUCGUUGUCAUUUCACCGUAGCAGAUAGAACGCUGUCUGGAGACACCGCCCUUGCUGGAAAAUUGAUUAAGGUCUGGAUUUGGAAGGAGGGACUUUCCCCAAAACUCUGCACCUGUGGAUACCAGCCAUCAGACACCGCCACUUCACAUGCACCUCCAGCUCUGAGGGUCAGCCGAAGUCAUCCUAGCUUGCAAGGUUGCUUUGUGCCAGUUGCAUGUCCAGCAGCAAUGACUCUGUGCUCCCCACGCGCCUCCCUUCAGCAUGAGUUUCCUUACUACGUGCUCAGGGACUUGCUCUGCGCUAACAGGAAGGACUGAUCCGCUGCCCAGGUGAAUAUUGAGGCAUCUUUGCAGCACAGAAUGCUUGCGGCACAGCACAACUUUGGCUUGUACUCUGAUUCCUUGGCCAUCAGCAGAAGACAGGCAUAACUUGGAAGCAAGGCUUGACUGGUGCGGUACCACUAUUUCCAGCCAAGCAGGCAGCACAGUGGUUUACUGGAAGUGGUGUUUGCCCCUUUGCACCCCAAGCACUUUCUGAAAAACUCACAUUUAAAUUCGUCAGCCUGGAAGCAUCCAAUGGGCUUAGAAGCUGUGGCUAAGGAGGAUGGAUGAGCGUGCAUGAGGCUGAGCACCGGACUGUAUCAUCCCCUUUGGAAAACUGGCUGCAACCAGAGGGCUAGGGAAGUUGGGAGAAAAAUCUGCCUUGAAAACAAAUGAUAUGCCACGUCUUUGGAACCACACAGAAAACACAAUGAGCAUGCAUUGCUUGGUGAUAAAGGUGUGGAAUAGUGCUAGGAGAAUGAGUGAAGCAGUUACUGUGCAAUUUUAGUUCAUUUUCUGUGUAAGGACAGCAGUAAGAGGAUGGCUCAUAGAUAUACCUGCUGGGAAGAGCCGAUGAGCUACUGCAGAAUAAGCUGCAGUGGUGUAGCAUUAAGUCAGCUCUGCUCCAAACAGGGCCAGGUAGCACUGCACCACACGCCAAAGGAGCCCUAUCUACACUAGGAUUCAUGCUUUGCACUGUUGUUAGCAACAGAAAGUUUUUGCUGGAAAAAAUAAAAUCAACAAAGGCACCAUCUAGAAUUGUAUCCAUUAUGUUUUUGCAAAUGAUCUAAGUUCUCUUUAAAGGCCAGGCACAUGGGACCAAAUAUUUAGAGAGGUUCUUAGUGUUAAAAAUAAAUACACAUCAGUGCAUAGCACGUACAAGAGAAUUAGUUAGCUAACUUUUAUUGUAUAUAUACCAUUAUAUGAUUUACUUGUUGAGUAAAUCAUUUGAAUGAGCAAAUUCAGGUGCAAGCCUGCAGCGAAGCUCGGUGCUUAGAAAGCUUGGCUGCCUGUCUGUCUGUCCCUUUCUCUGGGGAAUGCAGACGUAUCUCUGGAGCAGGCAGACUGUCACAAGGCACUGGGAAAACUGCUUUUGACACCUGUACUCGGAAAACAUUGUUUUCCUUGGUGUGAAGUAUAGUUUGCUUUUAGGGAUGCAAGGAUGCAAGAAAUGUUUUUCAUCAAAUUAAGAAAAAUGAAGGCGCUUCUGUAGCAGACUAAUUAGAUAUCUAUCUAAAAUAAAUGUUUUUUUUAACGCCUGAUUUCUUUUUUAAAUAUAUAAAUACCAGCUAGUGGUUUAAAGCUCCUGUAGUUGUGAAUGGCUCUGCUGUCCCACACUGCAAGCUAAGUUUUUAUUACUUCUUCACAAGAAAUUUAUUUUGCUGACAUGGGCCCUAAUCCAGUAAAGUGUUAAAACAUAUGCUUAAUUUUAAGCAUGCGAGUAAAGCCAACAGCACAAAUUUAAGCACAAAUUUAUGUUUGGUCUAGCUGGGGCUAUAAUUUCUGGGUUACGGUCUUGAGGAUUGUGUGCUUUUCUUAGAAUAAGCACCCUCCUGAAGGAAAAAGAAGACGGUCAUGUUUUUUUAAGGUAUUAUGUUAUUUAUCAGAAGAUCUUGCAAAGAAAUGCACAAACGAGGAAAUGCUGAAAAUUUUGGGACAUCAAUGAGUUCUUUUAAAUAUGGAAGUCAUGCAAUCCGAUGAAAAUUCCCAUCACUCUCCUCCUCAACUUCCACAUGUUGUUGUGGUAGCUGAACACAUCAGGGGCAUGAGCUGGUUGUUUCAUGACUGACCAGCCAGCUGCCUCAGGAAUUCCUCCUGAUACUUUUCACGUAGAGAAAGCCUUAUUUUUUGCAUGGGCUCUUCUAGCCAGGUUGAGUAUUUGAGCUAAGAGAAGGGGUGAUCUUCCUUACUCCUAGUGAGCUGGUGAAGAGUUGGAAGUUUAGUAUUUCUUAAUAAUUUGCUCGGUGAUAUCAAAAUGUUAUUAGCUGUGGAUAUAUACAAGUGACCUUUUCUUAGGGAAGAUAAAAGCCUCAGAGAUGAUGAGUGAAUCAUAGCUCAAAUGGAACCUGAAAGUCACAGAGGUCAAACAGGAAUUUGGUGAUUUUGAUGUAGAGAACAGAGGAUGGCUGGCUGCACAGUGAGUUGGGUUCCUGCAAUUUUCAUCCUGCUGGCAGUCUCCGGCAGACCUAGGACAGAGUGGACCAGCAAUCUGAGCUGCCUUCUCCUUACACAGGCUUGCAUGAGAUCUGGGAUGAAACAAACUGGUGUGGUGUGUAUAUGCUUACAGGAGUGAUUCUGUUUCAUUACACUGGUGAGUUUUCUGCAGAAAUGGCAAAGCCAGUGCUUCUCUACCUUGAAAUAAACUGUUUCUAAUAUAUGCCAGCAUUAGAAAACUGCAAGGUACCUUUUUUUUUUUUUUUUUUUUUUUUUUAAAUGCAGGACGGCUUAAAGGCUUUGUGUGUUCCAUUUGUACCAUGCAAGUUGUCAAGCACCACAGCUGAACGGAAGAAAGAAUGUGGGGAAUCUCUGCUAAGCUUUAGUUUUACAUACUUAAGAGCAGGCACAGGAUUUGUUCAGAGUUUUAUUAUCGGGUGAGGAGUUAAGGUAAUUACAGCAGCAAGGCAGAAGGCCAAAAGAUGAUGAAGAAGUCUAAUACCAGGCACCAUUUAGGUUUAGAGUGUACUGUGGGUUAUUUUUUAAAAUAUACUAGCCACCUACUGAUGACCUCCUCCUGGGGAAAUUUAAACACAAUUUAAUUAUUGCACCUCAUGUGUUAACAUUUACAAUAAGAUUAAGGGCACUGCAGUUUACACUCUAGUGCUCGCACUUACACAGUGUGUAAAGAGAAGGGAUUUGACUGAAGUCAGGGAGACAGAAGAGGUUAAAAUCAGUAGCUGGAAAAUGAAAGAGCUGUAAGGCAUUCUGCAUGUUUGUUACUAUACUAUACUAUGCAAGUAUUAAAAACUUAUUUGAAUAUGGAACGGGAAAGUCAUUUGUUUGGACUUCAAGGUAGGUUUCUUGCAAGUUACACCUGUUCAGAAGACCAUUCUUUGCCUAAGGUUUCAACACAGUGUAAACUACAAGCAAGUGGUUGAGAG